UACGUAGGGUGCGAGCGUUUGUCCGGAAUUACUGGGCGUAAAGAGCUCGUAGGUGGUUUGUCGCGUUGUUCGUGAAAACUCACAACUCAAUUGUGGGCGUGCGGGCGAUACGGGCAGACUGGAGUACUGCAGGGGAGACUGGAAUUCCUGGUGUAGCGGUGGAAUGCGCAGAUAUCAGGAGGAACACCGGUGGCGAAGGCGGGUCUCUGGGCAGUAACUGACGCUGAGGAGCGAAAGCGUGGGGAGCAAACAGG
rnacentral:rRNA from 1 species